GCUUGUCUCAAAGAUUAAGCCAUGCAUGUCUAAGUAUAAACAACUUUAUACAGUGAAACUGCAGAUGGCUCAUUAAAUCAGUUAUAAUUUAUUUGAUGAUUAACUUUACUACAUGGAUAACCGUAGUAAUUCUAGAGCUAAUACAUGCACCCGUGCCCGACUUUGUGGAAGGGUUGUGUUUAUUAGUUACAGAACCAGCCCAGGCUCUGCCUGGUCUUGUGGUGAUUCAUAAUAACCGAACGAAUCGCACGGCAUCAGCUGGCGAUGAAUCAUUCAAGUUUCUGACCUAUCAGCUUCCGACGGUAGGGUAUUGGCCUACCGUGGC
rnacentral:rRNA from 1 species